rnacentral:rRNA from 1 species
UACGGGGGGGGCAAGCGUUGUUCGGAAUUACUGGGCGUAAAGGGCUCGUAGGCGGCCAACUAAGUCAGACGUGAAAUCCCUCGGCUUAACCGGGGAACUGCGUCUGAUACUGGAUGGCUUGAAUCCGGGAGAGGGAUGUGGAAUUCCAGGUGUAGCGGUGAAAUGCGUAGAUAUCUGGAGGAACACCGGUGGCGAAGGCGGCAUCCUGGACCGGUAUUGACGCUGAGGAGCGAAAGCGUGGGGAGCGAACAGG